CAGUAGCCGCGGUAAUACGGAGGGAGCUAGCGUUAUUCGGAAUUACUGGGCGUAAAGCGCACGUAGGCGGCUUUGUAAGUUAGAGGUGAAAGCCUGGAGCUCAACUCCAGAAUUGCCUUUAAGACUGCAUCGCUUGAAUCCAGGAGAGGUGAGUGGAAUUCCGAGUGUAGAGGUGAAAUUCGUAGAUAUUCGGAAGAACACCAGUGGCGAAGGCGGCUCACUGGACUGGUAUUGACGCUGAGGUGCGAAAGCGUGGGGAGCAAACAGGAUUAGAUACCCCCGUAGUCCCUGUCUCUUAUAC
rnacentral:rRNA from 1 species